rnacentral:rRNA from 1 species
UGGCGACGGGUGAGUAACGCGUGAGUAACCUGCCCUGGAGUGGGGGGACAACAGUUGGAAACGACUGCUAAUACCGCAUAAGCCCACGGCCCGGCAUCGGGCUGCGGGAAAAGGAUUUAUUCGCUUCAGGAUGGACUCGCGUCCAAUUAGCUAGUUGGUGAGGUAACGGCCCACCAAGGCGACGAUUGGUAGCCGGACUGAGAGGUUGAACGGCCACAUUGGGACUGAGACACGGCCCAG